AAUUCGAUUGAGUUUGAUCAUGGCUCAGAACGAACGCUGGCGGCAUGCCUAACACAUGCAAGUCGAACGAGACCUUCGGGUCUAGUGGCGCACGGGUGCGUAACGCGUGGGAAUCUGCCCUUAGGUACGGAAUAACAGUGAGAAAUUACUGCUAAUACCGUAUGAUGUCUUCGGACCAAAGAUUUAUCGCCUAGGGAUGAGCCCGCGUUGGAUUAGCUAGUUGGUGGGGUAAAGGCCUACCAAGGCGACGAUCCAUAGCUGGUCUGAGAGGAUGAUCAGCCACACUGGGACUGAGACACGGCCCAGACUCCUACGGGAGGCAGCAGUGGGGAAUAUUGGACAAUGGGCGAAAGCCUGAUCCAGCAAUGCCGCGUGAGUGAAGAAGGCCUUCGGGUUGUAAAGCUCUUUUACCCGGGAAGAUAAUGACUGUACCGGGAGAAUAAGCCCCGGCUAACUCCGUGCCAGCAGCCGCGGUAAUACGGAGGGGGCUAGCGUUGUUCGGAAUUACUGGGCGUAAAGCGUACGUAGGCGGCUUUUUAAGUCAGAGGUGAAAUCCCGGUGCUCAACACCGGAACUGCCUUUGAGACUGGGUCGCUUGAUCACGGGAGAGGUUAGUGGAAUUCCGAGUGUAGAGGUGAAAUUCGUAGAUAUUCGGAAGAACACCAGUGGCGAAGGCGGCUAACUGGACCGUUGAUGACGCU
rnacentral:rRNA from 1 species